AACUGUAUAGCUCGGUUGGUUAGAGCGCUGCGCCGGAAUCGCAGGUCCGCAGGCUCGAUUUCUGCCAAGGACC